UUUGCCUACGGGAGGCAGCAGUGGGGAAUAUUGGGCAAUGGGCGCAAGCCUGACCCAGCAACGCCGCGUGAAGGAAGAAGGCUUUCGGGUUGUAAACCUCUGUCUUUGGGGAAGAAAAUGACGGUACCCAAAGAGGAAGCUCCGGCUAACUACGUGCCAGCAGCCGCGGUAAUACGUAGGGAGCGAGCGUUGUCCGGAAUUACUGGGUGUAAAGGGAGCGUAGGCGGGCGAGAAAGUUGAAUGUUAAAUCUACCGGCUUACCUGGUAGCUUCGUUCAAAACUUCUUGUCUUGAGUGAAGUAGUGG
rnacentral:rRNA from 1 species